GUGCCAGCCGCCGCGGUAAUACAGAGGGUGCGAGCGUUGUCCGGAAUCACUGGGCGUAAAGGGCGCGUAGGCGGCUUUUCAAGCGUGUGGUGAAAGCUCGGGGCUCAACCCCGAGUCGGCCAUGCGAACUGGGAGGCUUGAGCACGGUAGAGGCACAUGGAAUUCCGGGUGUAGCGGUGGAAUGCGUAGAGAUCCGGAGGAACACCGGUGGCGAAGGCGGUGUGCUGGGCCGUAGCUGACGCUGAUGCGCGACAGCGUGGGGAGCAAACAGGAUUAGAAACCCGCGUAGUCC
rnacentral:rRNA from 1 species